CUAUCGCUUACAGAUGGGCCCGCGGUGCAUUAGCUAGUUGGUAGGGUAAUGGCCUACCAAGGCAACGAUGCAUAGCCGACCUGAGAGGGUGAUCGGCCACACUGGGACUGAGACACGGCCCAGACUCCUACGGGAGGCAGCAGUAGGGAAUCUUCCGCAAUGGACGAAAGUCUGACGGAGCAACGCCGCGUGUAUGAAGAAGGUUUUCGGAUCGUAAAGUACUGUUGUUAGAGAAGAACAAGGAUAAGAGUAACUGCUUGUCCCUUGACGGUAUCUAACCAGAAAGCCACGGCUAACUACGUGCCAGCAGCCGCGGUAAUACGUAGGUGGCAAGCGUUGUCCGGAUUUAUUGGGCGUAAAGCGCGCGCAGGCGGUCUUUUAAGUCUGAUGUGAAAGCCCCCGGCUUAACCGGGGAGGGUCAUUGGAAACUGGAAGACUGGAGUGCAGAAGAGGAGAGUGGAAUUCCACGUGUAGCGGUGAAAUGCGUAGAUAUGUGGAGGAACACCAGUGGCGAAGGCGACUCUCUG
rnacentral:rRNA from 1 species